rnacentral:lncRNA from 1 species
AUAAUAAACAAAGUGAUGGCUUGACCGUUGAAACACAGAAAAAUCUAAAUCUAAGUGUAUAUAAUAUUGUAUAUAUAUUUAUAUCAUGUAUUUUGUGGAAUAAACUAACACGUUUCUUACUUUGAAAACAAAAUUUAAAAAAUCAAAAGACAUUUAUACGUUUCCUUUCUUUUUACUUAACAACUUUUUACUUAACAACUUUUUACUUAAUAACUUUUUACUUAAUAACAUUGUUAAAUUUUUUUUUUUUUUUUUUCGUUUUUCACAGGUUUGGAUAGUUAUAAACUAUUUUAACAUUACUUUGAAUGUGUGCUAUAUUUUUGAUUAUAAAUAUAUUUUUUUGGUUUCACUAGUUACAUAAGAUAUCUAACAUAUGCAUUUAGUACAUAAAAAGAAAAAAAGUUGUAUGUUCUGUCCAAUUAGUCUGUCUUCCUGCCUGCCUGCAUAUUUGCGUUUGUUUUUUUUUCACUUAUAUAUAUACAUCAACUUUAAAAAAAACUAUACUAUUUGUGUAAAGAGUUUAUUUUAUUUUUUUUUUGAGGAGACCUAUUUUUUUAAAAAAUGAAAGAUGUUCGAAAAGAGAUAAAUCAUAUAAAAGAAUUUAUUGACACAUUUUGUUUUGCAAAAAAUGUAAAGAUAGUUACUGAUGAAUCAGUUCUAAAAAAAAUUAACAAAACAUCUAAAGAAAAUAACACAAGUGUAGUUAAUUUGUAUUCUUCGUAUGCUUUAUGGCUGUGUAUGAAUGAAAUAUAUCCAGCAUGGUUUGAUCUUUCGAUUCAUCCUGCUCAGUUUGAUUUUGAAGCGGACGCCACCGAGUGUUUAAUCAAGUAUUUGAAUGAGUACCAUGAAAAAAAAUAUGAUAAAAUAAUAAAUAACGCGUUAAUAAAUAUUAACACCCUAACAGUAAGCCAUUUUAUUGAUAUAUACAAUUUAGUCAUACUAGCAGCUUUAGUAUCGGAUGAUAAACAAAGACAUAUAACUAAUAUUUUAUCACUUAAACAUGAAACACAAAAAUAUAUACACAAAAUUAUAGAAUAUUUAGAAAAAGAGAAAAAUCUAAAUCAGGAUAAUAAAUUAUUAACACAUAAUAAUUCUGAAAUUAGUAAGACAAAAAAAAAUUGCACAUAAGUAUCUUUUUUUAAAAAAAAUGAAUACCCAAAUAACUAUUAUAAAAUUUGUAAAAAUGAUAUAUGAACAAAGAUCUUGUUUUUUAACAUUUUUAUCUAUAUAUUAGAUAAUAAAAAAUAAAAAUGUAAACUUCUGUUUACUAUU